UGGGGAAUCUUGCACAAUGGGCGAAAGCCUGAUGCAGCAACGCCGCGUGCGGGAAGAAGGCCCUCGGGUUGUAAACCGCUUUCAGAAGGAACGAAACUGACGGUACUUUCAGAAGAAGGUGCGGCCAACUACGUGCCAGCAGCCGCGGUGACACGUAGGCACCAAGCGUUGUCCGGAUUUAUUGGGCGUAAAGAGCUCGUAGGCGGUUCAGUAAGUCGGGUGUGAAAACUUUGGGCUUAACCCAAAGCGUGCAUCCGAUACUGCUGUGACUUGAGUACGGUAGGGGAGCGGGGAAUUCCUAGUGUAGCGGUGAAAUGCGCAGAUAUUAGGAGGAACACCGGUGGCGAAGGCGCCGCUCUGGGCCGAAACUGACGCUGAGGAGCGAAAGCAUGGGUAGCAAACAGGAUUAGAUACCCAUGUAGUCCCUGAGCGGGCUGGCAAGGCGCAU
rnacentral:rRNA from 1 species